AGAUUGAACGCUGGCGGCAUGCCUUACACAUGCAAGUCGAACGGCAGCACGGGAGCAAUCCUGGUGGCGAGUGGCGAACGGGUGAGUAAUACAUCGGAACGUGCCCAAUCGUGGGGGAUAACGCAGCGAAAGCUGUGCUAAUACCGCAUAAGAUCUACGGAUGAAAGCAGGGGAUCGCAAGACCUUGCGCGAAUGGAGCGGCCGAUGGCAGAUUAGGUAGUUGGUGAGGUAAAGGCUCACCAAGCCUUCGAUCUGUAGCUGGUCUGAGAGGACGACCAGCCACACUGGGACUGAGACACGGCCCAGACUCCGUACGGGAGGCAGCA
rnacentral:rRNA from 1 species